rnacentral:rRNA from 1 species
UACGUAGGGUGCAAGCGUUGUCCGGAAUUAUUGGGCGUAAAGAGCUCGUAGGCGGUCUGUUACGUCGGCUGUGAAGACCUGGGGCUCAACCCCGGGCCUGCAGCCGAUACGGGCAGACUAGAAUUCGGUAGGGGAGACUGGAAUUCCUGGUGUAGCGGUGAAAUGCGCAGAUAUCAGGAGGAACACCGGUGGCGAAGGCGGGUCUCUGGGCCGAUAUUGACGCUGAGGAGCGAAAGCGUGGGGAGCGAACAGG